UCCUGAUGACUGCUUUAUUCUUGU
rnacentral:misc_RNA from 1 species